GUGAACUUCAGAUCUUUGGAGCGUGCAAAGCAACAAGGCAUCGGGGCAGCGGAGUGACACAGGCAGCAAUAUCCUUCAGGAGAGUGUUUCCCUCUUACGAGGCUGUUGGCUGGAUUUGGCAUCCCAGCAGCGGAGGGCAGGAGUGGAAGACUGCGCUUUCCUUCCUCCGUGGCUCAGUUCCCAGAGUGGGAAGAUGGAUAUGUGCCAUGGGUGAUACUUAAGGGACCAGGUGACAAGAUCUAUGAAGAUGGGGGUGUCUGAGGUUUCCCUGGAGUCACCGAGUGCUAUGAAGAAGAUGAGAAUCGUCUUGGAGGUCACAGCUGCUCUGUAACCAGCUCACCUGCCAGAAGCCAGCACUCCCGGCUCUGCAGCCCGUGAUAAGUAACGAAACCCUGGGCAGGUAGAGGAGGACUUGGGGAAACUUCUUCAAAGCUGCCCCGUGAGACAGCAAGGACAGAGCAAUGCCGGACCUAAGCCACUGCCAGCGCCUGGACACUCUCCUGCCAGUGGUCUCACGAGCAGGCUCUGCAAAAACCGAUGCCACGGGGUCCUCUCUGAGCCCCAUCCCAAAAACCCCCUCCAAAACACAAAGGCAAAAGAGUUGUGAGCUCUUCGCUUGUCGGCAAGGCACAGGAGCACAAAGAAAUUAUUUACUGUGAAUGAAACUUUGCCCCCUGACUAAUAGUUGAGGAGGUAAGAGGGGCCCUGCUCUGGAGUGGCUUGUCCCGUGCCACAGAGAGAAUCUUGUGGGAUGAAAUGAGAAGAACAAGACCAAUAUGUCACCAAACUGCCAUGAGGCCGGAGCCCUUCAAAUGACUUCAGGCAAGACCUGACGAUGUGACAUCAGCCUUGUCACCUGCUUAGUCGGAGACAAAGCAGGUGGAGGUAAGACCAAGGUCAUCAUUUAUCUAACCAAGGAAACUGCUAAGCUGAGCUACACAAACAUCUAACCCCCUCUAUCUUCCUGCCAGCCUUUGAUAGGCAAAUCUACCAGCUGAGGCUAAUGUGUCAGUGGAGAGGAAGAACACUGUUAUCUUCUUAUCAGCAGAUAAGAUGACAACCACAAAUACCUUGGCCUGAAAGACUCCUCUGCUAUCGCCAGGGGUGAACAUCAACGUGCUUCACAAAUAAUCUAAUUUAGGUGGAUAACAGAGGACUCCAAGGUGGGAGGUAAAACUCACAGCUCUGCUCAGUUAGAGAAGGACAGAAAUUUCUUAGAGGAAUACAACACUGGUCCAGCAAAAACAUACACCUGUGUUUUGUCUGCUAGCACUUCUGAUGCGAUCGAGCCAGGGAGUGAAUAGGUCAGCAAGCAGGUUCCUAUGCAACAGAUACAUUAAUCGUUAAUGGAGUGUUAGUAUUUAAAGUCCCCAAAUCUUCCUCUAACAUGCAAAACAGUCUCUCUUGCCAUGGACUGUUUGUUUCACCGAGUAAUCCACUCAUCCUCUGUUAUAAUCACAGCGGGUAUAACUUCCGCAGGGACUUUUCUGUGUCAACAUGUUUUGGACUGUGAUGUCUUUGAGACAGAGAAUUUUCUUUUUUUUUCCUGUGUUGUGUAUCUCCAGGUAAGUUGGCGGGCUUUUAGAAAUGCCAUGUAAUGUGUAGCUGCAGUCAGUCACUCCUCCAUCCUUCUCUCUCCCUGGAGUAUUCAGUGUCCUUGUGCCUCUCCCAGACACAUUUAAAAGAACAAUUUUUCUUGUGACAAGCAAGGCAAGGAGUGUGAGUUUGUGUCUGACAGGUUCAGGGAGAAGCUCGCAAUGAGGCAAUUAGACAAGGAAAGUGCUGAUUAGAAGCACCGUCACCCAUACCAAGGAAAGAAACAAAUUUUAAGUAGCAGCAGGAAAAGGGAGGGGGGGAGAAAAAAAAAAAAAAGAUAAACCGAAACAUUUGAUAAAGCAGCAGGUUGUAAUAAAAAGUUUUGAGACUGACAAGGUCUGAUAGCAGCCUCGAGGGUUGCUGAAAACUUCUCUGGAGGUAGCCGGGCCUGGUUAUAUCUGGAGGCAGGAGGCUGCCCUUGAUGGGUUCCUCCAGUUUAACAGCUUUUCAUUCCCACGCUGGGCUUGCCAGUCACCAGCUCCUUGGAGAGGUCCCCUCUGCAAUCCAGACCAAGCUUACUGCUGUAGACCUGUCCAUCCCUCCCUCUGGCAGGAGCACGGCCAC